UUACGUCUCAGUUACUGAGUGAUCAAAUUGAGUCUAUGCCCCAACUGUGUAUUGAAGUAAAAAAUGUCAUGUAACAUUUCCAGUAGUUGUUUUAAUGUGUAACGUAGUCCCCAAUUUAGCUCCUCGAGUGUAAUCUGGUAGCUAUGUUUUGUUUAAAAAAAAAAAACAUAGCUACCAGAUUACACUGUAUCCUGGAAUGAACCUGACUACAGAUAUUAAACUCUCAGCUUAUUUACCAAGAAGUUAAU
rnacentral:misc_RNA from 1 species